UGGGGAAUUUUGGACAAUGGGCGAAAGCCUGAUCCAGCAAUGCCGCGUGUGUGAAGAAGGCCUUCGGGUUGUAAAGCACUUUUGUCCGGAAAGAAAUCCUUGGCUCUAAUACAGUCGGGGGAUGACGGUACCGGAAGAAUAAGCACCGGCUAACUACGUGCCAGCAGCCGCGGUAAUACGUAGGGUGCAAGCGUUAAUCGGAAUUACUGGGCGUAAAGCGUGCGCAGGCGGUUUGCUAAGACCGAUGUGAAAUCCCCGGGCUCAACCUGGGAACUGCAUUGGUGACUGGCAGGCUAGAGUAUGGCAGAGGGGGGUAGAAUUCCACGUGUAGCAGUGAAAUGCGUAGAGAUGUGGAGGAAUACCGAUGGCGAAGGCAGCCCCCUGGCCAAUACUGACGCUCAUGCACGAAAAGCGUGGGGAGCAAAACAGGAUUAGAUACCCUGGUAGUCCCACGCCCUAAAACGAUGUCAACUAGUUGUUGGGGAUUCAUUUCCUUAGUAACGUAGCUAACGCGUGAAGUUGACCGCCUGGGGAGUACGGUCGCAAAGAUUAAAACUUAAAGGAAUUGACGGGGUCAUAGCUG
rnacentral:rRNA from 1 species